rnacentral:tRNA from 1 species
GUCUGGGUGGCUCAGUUGGUUAAGCGUCUGACUCUUGAUUUCAGCUCAGGUCAUGCUCUCACAGUCUGUGGGUUCAAGCCCCACAUCAGGCU